rnacentral:rRNA from 1 species
AGUGGCGUACGGGUGAGUAACGCGUGGGAACCUGCCUAGAAGUGGGGGACAACCUGGGGAAACCUAGGCUAAUACCGCAUACGCUGAGGCAAAGGCUCGCUUUUAGAGGGGCCCGCGUUGGAUUAGGUAGUUGGCGGGGUAACGGCCCACCAAGCCUACGAUCCAUAGCUGGUCUGAGAGGAUGAUCAGCCACACUGGGACUGAGACACGGCCCAGACUCCUACGGGAGGCAGCAGUGGGGAAUAUUGGACAAUGGGGGAAACCCUGAUCCAGCAAUGCCGCGUGAGUGAAGAAGGCCUUAGGGUUGUAAAGCUCUUUCGGCGGGGAUGAUUGACGGUACCCGCAGAAGAAGCCCCGGCUAACUCCGUGCCAGCAGCCGCGGUAAUACGGAGGGGGCUAGCGUUGUUCGGAAUUACUGGGCGUAAAGGGCGCGUAGGCGGUCUGUCCAGUUAGGCGUGAAAGGCCUGGGCUUAACCCAGGAAUGGCGCUUAAUAC